rnacentral:tRNA from 1 species
GGGUGCGUAGCUCAGUGGUAGAGCACGGGAUUGCAGAUCCUGGGGUCGCCGGUUCGAUCCCGGUCACACCCUC